CCUGUGAUGGCUCUAUUGUUCCAAGCGCUGCCCUACAAAUACCACACGCCUCUCUGCCUCCUCCGCAAGGGCAAAGCGGGAAACUGGGUCGGCUGAGCGGAGCUUGAGGUAGUGGCAGAACUGGCACCAACCUCCCUCAGCCUCUCUGCUGCCCCUUGGGGCAGCGACGCCGCGCCAUUCCUGUCGCAGGCACAGAACACACAAAGGAAGCCCCCACCCGUCCUCAGACGUGGGGACACUCUGGGGAGGAGGCUGGCUUGGACCCCGAGUCUGAGCACCUCCCUCCCCUGCGGGGAACAAUAGCCGCCGCCGCCCCCGGGCGGCCGGGCGGUCGCGCGGCACAAAGGCCGUCUCCGGUCCGCGCCACCAUGUGACGCGCGUGCUCGCUCCGCGGUCCCCGGGCCCGCGGCAGGGCGCAGUCAGCAGAGCGCGGGAGCCGCGGGGUCGCGGCCGGGCUGCCGAAAUCCACCUGGCACGCUUUCGGAGAGACAAACGCGGUUCCUCCUACUUAAGAGCAAGUCCGGGCCAGCUGGGAGCCGACCAGAAACCGCAAGAAACCGCAAGCAGGCAAGCGGGGUGAGCGCUCACGGAGGGUGCGAACUGCCGCCCCACGUUCGGCGGUGCGAGGCCGGUCCCUCGCACCGGGUCCCUCCUGUCGCCUUCCGGCCCGCCCUCGGACCACUUGCGGCCCGCGGCCCUUCCAAGAGGCCGGCAGCGCCAGUCCCGGACGCAACGUGACUCGGUAUCCAACCCCCCCCCCCCCGCUCCCCGCCCCCCACCCCCGACAUCUCCUGCUUCCUCCCUCCCAAGUCACCCUCAACGCCUCUCUACGCCUAGAAACGGGCAACUCCAUCUCUCCCAAGGCGGAACAA